rnacentral:rRNA from 1 species
CCCUUAGAUGUUCUGGGCCGCACGCGCGCUACACUGACGGAUUCAACGAGUCCUACCUAGGCCGAUAGGCCCGGGUAAUCUUGUCAAAGUCCGUCGUGCUGGGGAUAGACUCUUGUAAUUUUUAGUCUUGAACGAGGAAUUCCUAGUAAGCGCAAGUCAACAACUUGCGUUGAUUACGUCCCUGCCCUUUGUACACACCGCCCGUCGCUGCUACCGAUUGGAUGAUCCGGUGAAAUUUUCGGACUGUCGCGUGUAGUGCCGUUCGCGGAGCUCACGCGAUGGGAAGUUACUUGAACCUUAUUAUCUAGAGGAAGCAAAAGUCGUAACA